rnacentral:rRNA from 1 species
UACGGAGGGUGCAAGCGUUAAUCGGAAUCACUGGGCGUAAAGCGCGCGUAGGUGGUUGGGUAAGUAGGCUGUGAAAGCCCUGGGCUUAACCUGGGAACUGCAGUCUAGACUGUCUGACUCGAGAUCAGUAGAGGGAGGUGGAAUUCCUGGUGUAGCGGUGAAAUGCGUAGAUAUCAGGAAGAACACCAGUGGCGAAGGCGACCUCCUGGACUGCAUCUGACACUGAGGUGCGAAAGCGUGGGGAGCGAACAGG